rnacentral:rRNA from 1 species
GACGAACGCUGGCGGCGUGCUUAACACAUGCAAGUCGAACGGAAAGGCCCUGCUUUUGUGGGGUGCUCGAGUGGCGAACGGGUGAGUAACACGUGAGUAACCUGCCCUUGACUUUGGGAUAACUUCAGGAAACUGGGGCUAAUACCGGAUAGGAGCUCCUGCUGCAUGGUGGGGGUUGGAAAGUUUCGGCGGUUGGGGAUGGACUCGCGGCUUAUCAGCUUGUUGGUGGGGUAGUGGCUUACCAAGGCUUUGACGGGUAGCCGGCCUGAGAGGGUAACCGGCCACAUUGGGACUGAGAUACGGCCCAGACUCCUACGGGAGGCAGCAGUGGGGAAUAUUGCACAAUGGGCGGAAGCCUGAUGCAGCAACGCCGCGUGCGGGAUGACGGCCUUCGGGUUGUAAACCGCUUUCGCCUGUGACGAAGCGUGAGUGACGGUAAUGGGUAAAAAAGCACCGGCUAACUACGUG